GACGAACGCUGGCGGCGUGCUUAACACAUGCAAGUCGAACGGAAAGGCCCUGCUUUUGUGGGGUGCUCGAGUGGCGAACGGGUGAGUAACACGUGAGUAACCUGCCCUUGACUUUGGGAUAACUUCAGGAAACUGGGGCUAAUACCGGAUAGGAGCUCCUGCUGCAUGGUGGGGGUUGGAAAGUUUCGGCGGUUGGGGAUGGACUCGCGGCUUAUCAGCUUGUUGGUGGGGUAGUGGCUUACCAAGGCUUUGACGGGUAGCCGGCCUGAGAGGGUGACCGGCCACAUUGGGACUGAGAUACGGCCCAGACGCCUACGGGAGGCAGCAGUGGGGCAUGUUGCACGAUGGGCGGAAGCCUGAGGCAGCACCGCCGCGUGGGGGAUGACGGCCUGCGGGUUGUAAACCGCUGUCGCCUGUGACGAAGCGUGAGUGAAGGUAAUGGGUAAAGAAGCACCGGCUAACUACGUG
rnacentral:rRNA from 1 species